GAAAGCAGGGGAUCGUAAGGCCUUGCGCUUUUGGAGCGGCCGAUGUCUGAUUAGCUAGUUGGUGGGGUAAGGGCCUACCAAGGCGACGAUCAGUAGUUGGUCUGAGAGGACGACCAGCCACACUGGGACUGAGACACGGCCCAGACUCCUACGGGAGGCAGCAGUGGGGAAUUUUGGACAAUGGGCGCAAGCCUGAUCCAGCAAUGCCGCGUGAGUGAAGAAGGCCUUCGGGUUGUAAAGCUCUUUCAGUCGAGAAGAAAAGGCUACGGUAAAUAAUCGUAGUUCAUGACGGUACCGACAGAAGAAGCACCGGCUAACUACGUGCCAGCAGCCGCGGUAAUACGUAGGGUGCGAGCGUUAAUCGGAAUUACUGGGCGUAAAGGGUGCGCAGGCGGCUCUGUAAGUCAGAUGUGAAAUCCCCGGGCUUAACCUGGGAAUUGCGUUUGAAACUACAAAGCUAGC
rnacentral:rRNA from 1 species